UACAGAGGUCGCAAGCGUUAAUCGGAUUUACUGGGCGUAAAGAGUGUGUAGGCGGUGCUCUAAGUUCGGUGUGAAAUCUCCCGGCUUAACUGGGAGGGUGCGCCGGAAACUGGAGUGCUCGAGCGUGGGAGAGGAAAGCGGAAUUCCUGGUGUAGCGGUGAAAUGCGUAGAUAUCAGGAGGAACACCUGCGGUGUAGACGGCUUUCUGGACCAUUGCUGACGCUGAGACACGAAAGCGUGGGUAGCAAACAGG
rnacentral:rRNA from 1 species